CAUGUGAAUUGAAACAUCUUAGUAACAUGAGGAAUAUAAAUCAAAUGAGAUUCUGUAAGUAGUGGUGAGCGAAAAUGGAAAACCCCAAAAUAAUAAAAGAUCAUAAAAUUUAUGAUAAAAUUCUUUUGAAAAUUAAUUAUCAGAUAAUAUUAUCUGUAAUUAAACCAAAGCGGGUAAUAGUCCUUUAAAAAGAAUAAAAAAAAAGAGUAGAAGGAAACACGAGAAAUUUUCUUUGAAUAGGGUGGACCCCCAUCCAAGGGUAAAUAUAAAUUUAAAUACCGAUAGUGAACAAGUACCGUGAGGGAAAGUCUGAGAGAGAACCUAUAAUGGGAGUGAAAAGAUCAGAAAAUUCAAUGUUUAUUAGCAGUUGAAGCUAAAAAAGCGCCAACGUACCUUGUGUAUAAUGGGUCAGCAAGUUAAUAAAUUAAGCGAGUUUAAACUAAAAAGUGUAGACGUAGCGAAAGCAAGUAAUAAUAAGCAAAAGUUUAAUUUAUUAGACCCGAAACUGAGUGAUCUAGUCGUGAACAGUCUGAAUUUUAAUGAAAAUUAAAAGGAGGGACGAACCCGUGAAUGUGGCAAUAUUCUGGGAAGAUUUGCGAUUAGGGGUGAAAGGCCAAUCAAACUCAGAAAUAGCUGGUUUUCCGCGAAAGCUAUCUAAGUAGUGUAGUAAUAAAAUUUCAUAAAAGGUAAAGCACUGAAUAGGCUAGGGGCUUCCAAUGGGAGCUACCAAACCUAAUCAAACUUAGAAUGGGAAUGAAAAAUAAUUACUAGUCGGACUUAAGGCGAGAAGGUCUUAAGUCAAAAGGGAAAAAGCCCAGAUUAGAAGCUAAGGUCUCUAAUUAGAGCUAAGUGUGGAAGGUAGUAAAGAAUUUUUUAUAAAAAUUUUAAAGAUUUUAACAACAAUGAAGUAGGCUUGGAAACAGCCAUCAUUUUAAAGAAAACGUAACAGUUCAUUUGAUUAAUCUUUUUGCACCUAAAAUUAAGGAGGCUAAGCUCUAAACCAAAGCUCUAAAUUUCAGUAAUACUGGAAUGGUAGCGGAACGUCAUGUACUUACAGCUUAAAAUUUUUUUGUAAAAAAAAAUAAAAAACUGCUGCAUCAUGAGUGAUAAUGCUGACACGAGUAAUAUAAAAGAAGUCUCUUUUAAAAGAGAAAACUCUUCUUCACCUUAAGUCCAAGGUUUUCAACGCUCUGAUUUACAACGUUGAGUUAUAUAGUCCCUAAGAAAAAGGCGAAAGCUUUAUUUAAUGGGUAGUAUUAGAAUGACGUAUAAGAAAUAAAAAAAUUAUAAAAUUAAAGCCAUUAUAACUUAGAAAUUUUUAUACCUGGAAAUAAUUCUAAUUAUUUUUACUAUACCUUAAACUAACACAAGUGGACUAGUAGAGUAUACUAAGGUGAAAACAUAACGAUCUUUAAGGAACUCGGCAAAUUAUCUCCGUACGUUAGCAAUAAGGAGAGUGGAUGUGCCUUCUGAUUAAAUUUUCGAAUUUAUCAUGGGGUAUGUCCAUUGCAAAAAAUAGGGGGUAUCGACUGUUUACCAAAAACACAGCAUUCUGCUAACACGUAAGUGGAUGUAUAGGAUGUGACGCUUGUCCGAUGAUAGUAUCCUAAAUCAAUUGGUAAUAAGCUAAUUGUAUAAAGACUAUUCAAUGACCGCGGUAACCAUGACCGUGCGAAGGUAGCGAAAUUCCUUGGCUAGUAAGUUUAGUCCCGCACGAAUAGCGUAACGAAUGCCCCACUGUCUCAAAGAUCAUGUUUAUGAAAAUGAAAUAGCCGUGCAGAUGCGGUUUUGAAGUAGGAAGACGAGAAGACCCUAUAAAUCUU
rnacentral:rRNA from 1 species